rnacentral:lncRNA from 1 species
CAAAAUCAAAUUGCGACAAUUAAGUGAAAGAAACAACCAGUAUAAUUGAUACUUCACUUCAGAUUCAUAUCUGUGGGCUGUGGCACACAGAUAAAAGCAAACGAAAUAACUUCAGGUACCAAUAAAUAUGUACAAUCUACACAAAUAAACACCAUUGGUAACUCUUGACAAUCAAGCCAACACAUCAGAUAAGAAGACAACUAUUUCACGACACAAAGUUUCCUUUUGGAUAUUGUGGCGGUGAAUUUCCAGAUUUUUCUUUUUCUUUGCUCUCUGUCCUGACAAACCUUCCAAUUUUUGGCGAUUUCUUAAGAAUUGGACCCUUGUUUAGUUUUGGAUGGUUGAGAAAUCUUAGCACAUGCCCAUGAACCUUGGUUCACCUCCUCAAGACCUCAACAUUAAUUUAGGCAGCCGAAAUAUAUAAAAGAACCGAGGCUAGCAGUGUCUUGACAGAGUUAUUACUCCAGGCAAAAUCCCCCCUUUUGCUCAAUUGGUUUGGCUAAGUGUGCAUGCCGCACACAGAUCCCAUAACACAAGCGACGCGCUCCCUCGUGUACCCAAAGGAUGUGCCUUCACCGGCACAUACUCCGGGCAAAAUCAGGCAGACCCUAAAGACAGAGAAUUAAUUUGGGGUAGGAAGAGGAGGAAGAGGGUGGAUGCGGAGCUCACAGGAAUGGAGGCACUCGGGGAUGACGGCCGCGUCGCGGAGGAAGCCACCGCAGAGCCCGCAGGUGACGCACGGCGCGAUCCUCGAGCGGCGCACCAUCACCUCCGCAUCCGCCGCGCCCUGCGCGACGGCGGCGCCGUGGGAGCACGGCCCGGCCACAGGCGAAGCUUGCCGGCCCCUUUUCCUCAUGAUGAUUUCUGCAUCGCAAACCAGAUAACCAGCUCAUGUCAGCACGGUGCCACUCAAUCAAGAACCGCGAUGAGGUGCAUUGCUCCAAAAUCAAAGAUCCAGCAGCAUAGAAUUUCAAUUUCCCAACCGUGGAAAAUCAGAGCCUGCUUCGGCCUGCGGGUAAGAGAACAUUCAGCGGUGCGGUAAGAGAGGGGUCGCCAUCGGUGCCUCGGCAGUGAGGUGCGGUCGGGGAAGAGGAAGCGUCACCCGGCCAGGAGACACGCAGCGGGGGAGGCGCUAGGGUUUCAGCAAAGGGCGGCGGCGGACCACAGCGGCAGGAGAGAUGGAGGGAUGGACGAUGAUUGGGGGCUGGGAGAG